AUUGAACGCUGGCGGCAUGCCUUACACAUGCAAGUCGAACGGUAACAGGUCUUCGGAUGCUGACGAGUGGCGAACGGGUGAGUAAUACAUCGGAACGUGCCUAGUAGUGGGGGAUAACUACUCGAAAGAGUGGCUAAUACCGCAUGAGAUCUAAGGAUGAAAGCAGGGGAGCGCAAGACCUUGUGCUACUCGAGCGGCCGAUGGCCGAUUAGGGAGUUGGUGGGAUAAAAGCUUACCAAGCCGACGAUCUGUAGCUGGUCGGAGAGGACGAUCAGCCACACUGGGACUGAGACACGGCCCAGACUCCUACGGGAGGCAGCAGUGGGGAAUUUUGGACAAUGGGCGAAAGCCUGAUCCAGCAAUGCCGCGUGCAGGAUGAAGGCCUUCGGGUUGUAAACUGCUUUUGUACGGAACGAAAAGCCCCGGGUUAAUACCCUGGGGUCAUGACGGUACCGUAAGAAUAAGCACCGGCUAACUACGUGCCAGCCGCCGCCGUAA
rnacentral:rRNA from 1 species